AUAUCCUGUCGAUUAAUGGGUAGAUCAUAAAUUUUUGGUAUUUAGAGUCGGUGUUCGAAUCACCGCAGGAUAA
rnacentral:tRNA from 1 species